AAAAAAGAGAGGAGAAAUCGCUGAAAUGCAGGCUUGGGACUGGGAGGAUGGAGGGAUGUCAUGUUGCUGCACUGAGCGUUACAGGCCUCACAGGCUGCAAGAAAACAGUCUAUUUGAAGGAAAAAAAAUCGACACAAACAGGAGUCAACUAUUUCGUCCACAGCUGCACAACUGCUGCAAGAUGCACCACUGCAAAGGGAAAUGUUCAUAAUUUUGGGCUAAAUUUUUUGAACAUCAGAGCACUUCCUGCUUUGUUGCUAAAUAUGAAUACACUUAGUAGAUGCACGUGGUUGGGAUGAGGAAAAAACAGGUCUGGCUUUCUAAUCUCCCAGGACACAAACACCACUCUCCUGUCACCUUAACUUUUGUUCUUGCCUCGCUGCGUUUCCCCUGAUGCCACCAGCUGCUGUUAAACUACGACGGCAAUUGGCCAUGUUUCAUGCCAACGUUAAAGGAUGGCUUUCUUCAUCAGUGUCUGACGCCGGGAGUCGCUGCACAGGCACUGGACUUUGGAGUGCGACAGAGUUGUCCAUUAACUAACCCUGUUUUCCAGUGCGUUUGUGACACCAGUGUGACACAACAGAAAGGCAUACUCGUCUACUGGCAAUGGGGAAGUAUUGCCUAUUUUUAGCGUGUUUUCCCAAGCUUAAAAUAUAUAUAUAAUAUAUAUGUAAAAGGGUAUGUUUCUGCACUGGCACAGCUAAGCAAUCCAGGCCUGUCACUUUCACCUACUCUGCCAAGCUGGUCCGGAGGUCUACACUGUCUAGUUGGGAAGAUUAUAAGACCUUGGGGUGUCUCACUUUGUGCUAUGAUGGAUGGAGACUCGACUGUAUGUUCCAAAGAGCCACACACGCCUCUCUGUGUGACCUUGUUUUCUUUGGUGUAACUGGUAUUGUUUGUCAAGCAAACUCCAUGCCACUGUUUCUGGGACCAGUAU